GUGGGGAAUUUUGGACAAUGGGGGCAACCCUGAUCCAGCAAUGCCGCGUGCAGGAAGAAGGCCUUCGGGUUGUAAACUGCUUUUGUACGGAACGAAAAGGCUCUGGUUAAUACCUGGGGCACAUGACGGUACCGUAAGAAUAAGCACCGGCUAACUACGUGCCAGCAGCCGCGGUAAUACGUAGGGUGCGAGCGUUAAUCGGAAUUACUGGGCGUAAAGCGUGCGCAGGCGGUGCUGUAAGACAGGCGUGAAAUCCCCGGGCGCAACCUGGGAAUUGCGCUUGUGACUGCAGUGCUGGAGUACGGCAGAGGGGGAUGGAAUUCCGCGUGUAGCAGUGAAAUGCGUAGAUAUGCGGAGGAACACCGAUGGCGAAGGCAGUCCCCUGGGCCUGUACUGACGCUCAUGCACGAAAGCGUGGGGAGCAAACAGGAUUAGAAACCCUGGUAGUCC
rnacentral:rRNA from 1 species